UACGAAGGGUGCAAGCGUUACUCGGAAUUACUGGGCGUAAAGGGUGCGUAGGUGGGUCUGUAAGUCAGUGGUGAAAUCUCCGAGCUUAACUCGGAAACUGCCAUUGAUACUAUAGGUCUUGAAUUAUCUGGAGGUAAGCGGAAUAUGUCAUGUAGCGGUGAAAUGCUUAGAUAUGACAUAGAACACCAGUUGCGAAGGCAGCUUACUACGGAUUGAUUGACACUGAGGCACGAAAGCGUGGGGAUCAAACAGG
rnacentral:rRNA from 1 species